rnacentral:rRNA from 1 species
UGGGGAAUCUUGCGCAAUGGGCGAAAGCCUGACGCAGCAACGCCGCGUGCGGGAUGACGGCCCUCGGGUUGUAAACCGCUUUCAGCAGGAACGAAAAUGACGGUACCUGCAGAAGAAGGCCCGGCCAACUACGUGCCAGCAGCCGCGGUAACACGUAGGGGCCAAGCGUUGUCCGGAUUUAUUGGGCGUAAAGAGCUCGUAGGCGGUUCAGUCAGUUGGGUGUGAAAACUCCGGGCUUAACUCGGAGAGGCCACCCAAUACUGCUGUGACUUGAGUCCGGUAGGGGAGUGGGGAAUUCCUGGUGUAGCGGUGAAAUGCGCAGAUAUCAGGAGGAACACCGGUGGCGAAGGCGCCACUCUGGGCCGGUACUGACGCUGAGGAGCGAAAGCGUGGGGAGCAAACAG